ACCAUCGAAGGUGAUGAUGUGGUGGAGUCUCUACCUGAACCAGGACUACUCCCAAGUUCUCUUUCUUCUCUUGACAUCAGAAACUGUUCCAAUCUCAGAAUGUUGGACUACAAGGCUCUUUGUCAAUCGCCCUCCCUCAAAUAUUUGAUUAUAAUGUAUUGUUCGAGACUCCAAAGCUUACCCAAGGGGAGCCUCCCCAGUUCCCUUUCUUACCUUCGAAUACUGCGAUCUUGUCCAACGCUUAAACAAGGAUGCCAGAAACCAGAAGGGGAAGACUGGGAAGAGAUUACUCACAUCCCUUAAUUACAUUCAUAUUUAGCAGCCAAUCCUCAGUUUCUCUUUGCAUGACUGCCUGACAACAAGAUUCCCAUUAUAACACUAAGGACUUAUUUAACAGUAUUACAUACUUAUUUAUACUGAUAGAUGAUCGCUGCGCACUUUACAAAGAGACUUGAGUAAGCAGAGCUGAAAAAGGAAAGAAGCUGUUGAUGAUCCCAUCAUGGAAUUGUUCUUAGGCUUGAACAUUUGGAGAGUGUCCACAAUUUGAAUAAUUUUUCGCAUUUGUAUCAAUGAUCAGUUUGUGAAGGGAAAGUGACAAAAUUAUUGUAUUGUCUGGCCACCUUCUAAGUUCUAUCUUUUGAUGCGCAACUGUUUCUUUCUGUUUGCAAAAUUAUGUUUGUCAAACACAAGUGUAGAAAUAAAACUCUGGGGGAAAAACCAGAACUUCAUUUGCUCAAA